UGUGAUGAUUUCAAGGGCUAUAAAACGU
rnacentral:piRNA from 1 species